rnacentral:rRNA from 1 species
AUUGAACGCUGGCGGCAUGCUUUACACAUGCAAGUCGAACGGUAACAGGCCGCAAGGUGCUGACGAGUGGCGAACGGGUGAGUAAUGCAUCGGAACGUGCCCAGUCGUGGGGGAUAACUACUCGAAAGAGUAGCUAAUACCGCAUACGAUCUAUGGAUGAAAGCGGGGGACCGUAAGGCCUCGCGCGAUUGGAGCGGCCGAUGUCAGAUUAGGUAGUUGGUGGGGUAAAGGCUCACCAAGCCAACGAUCUGUAGCUGGUCUGAGAGGACGACCAGCCACACUUGGACUGAGACACGGCCCAGACUCCUACGGGAGGCAGCAGUGGGGAAUUUUGGACAAUGGGCGCAAGCCUGAUCCAGCAAUGCCGCGUGCAGGAAGAAGGCCUUCGGGUUGUAAACUGCUUUUGUACGGAACGAAACGGCUCUGGUUAAUACCCGGGGCUAAUGACGGUACCGUAAGAAUAAGCACCGGCUAACUACGUG